GGAGCCUUUUACUGGUGGUCGUGGAUGCAUCACCUGGAAACGAUUUUGCUGCACGAUGUUCACAUGGACGAUUGGGACGACAAAGUGCUCUGGUGGAAUGUGCAGUUUCCCACACCGGUCUUACAAGCCUUUUUGGAAUACCCCCCAUGGGUACGAGCGUGCCUGCAAUA
rnacentral:ribozyme from 1 species